rnacentral:rRNA from 1 species
UUAGCGGCGGACGGGUGAGUAACACGUGGAUAACCUACCUAUAAGACUGGGAUAACUUCGGGAAACCGGAGCUAAUACCGGAUAAUAUUUUGAACCGCAUGGUUCAAAAGUGAAAGACGGUCUUGCUGUCACUUAUAGAUGGAUCCGCGCUGCAUUAGCUAGUUGGUAAGGUAACGGCUUACCAAGGCAACGAUGCAUAGCCGACCUGAGAGGGUGAUCGGCCACACUGGAACUGAGACACGGUCCAGACUCCUACGGGAGGCAGCAGUAGGGAAUCUUCCGCAAUGGGCGAAAGCCUGACGGAGCAACGCCGCGUGAGUGAUGAAGGUCUUCGGAUCGUAAAACUCUGUUAUUAGGGAAGAACAUAUGUGUAAGUAACUGUGCACAUCUUGACGGUACCUAAUCAGAAAGCCACGGCUAACUACGUGCCAGCAGCCGCGGUAAUACGUAGGUGGCAAGCGUUAUCCGGAAUUAUUGGGCGUAAAGCGCGCGUAGGCGGUUUUUUAAGUCUGAUGUGAAAGCCCACGGCUCAACCGUGGAGGGUCAUUGGAAACUGGAAAACUUGAGUGCAGAAGAGGAAAGUGGAAUUCCAUGUGUAGCGGUGAAAUGCGCAGAGAUAUGGAGGAACACCAGUGGCGAAGGCGACUUUCUGGUCUGUAACUGACGCUGAUGUGCGAAAGCGUGGGGAUCAAACAGGAUUAGAUACCCUGGUAGUCCACGCCGUAAACGAUGAGUGCUAAGUGUUAGGGGGUUUCCGCCCCUUAGUGCUGCAGCUAACGCAUUAAGCACUCCGCCUGGGGAGUACGACCGCAAGGUUGAAACUCAAAGGAAUUGACGGGGACCCGCACAAGCGGUGGAGCAUGUGGUUUAAUUCGAAGCAACGCGAAGAACCUUACCAAAUCUUGACAUCCUUUGACAACUCUAGAGAUAGAGCCUUCCCCUUCGGGGGACAAAGUGACAGGUGGUGCAUGGUUGUCGUCAGCUCGUGUCGUGAGAUGUUGGGUUAAGUCCCGCAACGAGCGCAACCCUUAAGCUUAGUUGCCAUCAUUAAGUUGGGCACUCUAAGUUGACUGCCGGUGACAAACCGGAGGAAGGUGGGGAUGACGUCAAAUCAUCAUGCCCCUUAUGAUUUGGGCUACACACGUGCUACAAUGGACAAUACAAAGGGCAGCGAAACCGCGAGGUCAAGCAAAUCCCAUAAAGUUGUUCUCAGUUCGGAUUGUAGUCUGCAACUCGACUACAUGAAGCUGGAAUCGCUAGUAAUCGUAGAUCAGCAUGCUACGGUGAAUACGUUCCCGGGUCUUGUACACACC